AGUGCCUUGAGGGUUGAGAGUGAGCUGGGAUGGGAGAAGAGUUAUGGAAGGGUGUGGUGCUGGUCCCUGGCAGGGUUGAAGAAUGAGGGUGGAAUAUUCUGUCGGGGAACCUCAGAAGAGAAUCCCACACAGGACCUUGCAAGAAAGAAACCAGCGUUUUGGCUAGAGCUGUGGGAGUCACUUGAUAAUCAUCUGGUCCUGUGGCAGCCUUGGGAGAGGCCCCCUCUGAACUCUCAGGCCCAUAUUUCUUCUCCUUUAUGGUGAUCUCAGAAUGCUAUUAUUUGUGUCCUGCCAAUACUCCCAAAGGAUCUGAGGGUUGACUCCUUUCUAUCCUGUAUCCCCGGGACUCAACAGUUGACCUGAACCAGAGAAAGCACCAAAGAGCCAAUCAGUGGAGAUCAAGUGCUUUGGAUACAACUCAUCCUCUCCCUGAAUCCUUGAAGCACCUCUGCACUUGACUUUCCAGAAGGAAGCAGAAGCAGGUGGAAAUUCAGCGAAUUUACACACAGGAGGCUUGAGCACUGGCCUCUGGGGAAAAGACAAGUCCAGCUGACCUUGUUAAAGAAAGCCCUAGGGCUCUAGGCCACCUCUUUUUGUUUGCUCUCUGCUAGCCUCCUAGCUUUUUUGGCUCAGCAACGCCCAGGAUUCUGGGCAUAUUUGUUUCCAGCCUUCUAAAAAUAACCUGGGCCGCCUAGUGCCUCCCAGAUGUCUGAGCGCUGAGUCUGUGAUUUCCCGGCUGGUAAUGGGACAGCCCAGACAUGGGCAGCUGGGGUGGCUCAAGCAGCUAAAGCCACUUCCUCUGCCUCCCACCCAACGCCUACUAAGAGCUCAGCCCUACUUCUGAACCCUUGCAAAGCAAAGGAGGGCAGAGGCUUGGCUGCUUGAGUGAUAGGCCUCAGAGAUUGUUGACUCCACUCUCUGCUUGGGAAAACCAAGAUCCAAGGACUUUCCUAGAGCACUUGCACCAUUAAGAUCCUCCCAUCCACUCCCCAGCACUCAGUUCAUGCCUACUGCUGCCUCACUUCCCUCUUGCUGCCAGGAGUCCAGGUCUCUGAGCUCAGUCUGACUUUCCCCAUGACAGCUGUAAAUUCCUAACAAGAGUGAUGUCCCCAGGAGGUUUCCAAUGGUGCCUGGAAGUGUCCAAUCCAGAGCACACAUUAGCAAAUGUAGAUUGGAUUAAAUUAUGUAGUAGUAGCCAGGGCCAUGCAUGGAAUCAGGCUGGGGGACAGAGCUUUUGGAUUCUAGUUUAGGUGUAGGCAUUGUGACAUUGUGUGUCCCUAUCAAUUUCCCUGGAUGAGUCUGUUGAAUUGGAGCUGGAUGAGAUAGUAUCUUAGGACCUAGCCAGCUCUAUUGUCUUAAGGCUAUGAGUUGAUACCCUGUUGGGUAUUCCUGUCCCUUCCUCUGCUCCCCAGUGUGUGAGGAAGUUGGCACACCCUGCUGGUUCCACCCAGAUCUCAGCUUUUCCCUCUCUGCUUCCUAACUUUCUAAGGGCCUGGUUCCUGGCCCCUAGGCCCAGCUCCCCCAGUGGUGCUACCUCUGUCUCUGCCACUGGGUUCCCAGGGGUGAAUCAACCCAUCCCUUAUUGAACAUGCGACCUAGGGUAAUGCCCCUUUGCUGAACUUCAGUUUUAUCACCUCUAAAAUAGAGAUAAUAGGGCUGAGGACAGAGGUCAGAGGUAGGGUGCUUGCUUAAUACAUGCAUGGACUUGGAUUCAAUCCCUGCCUUAACCAAAAAAUUAUAAAGAUUAAAAAUAAAUAAAUGAAAAUAAAUGGAGACAAUAAGAUCUACCUUAGAGAAAUAAGGGCAAAGGGGAUCUCAUAUCUCAGGUUUCAGGUCAUAAAUCAUCUGCUGCAGAAAGUCUUCUCUGACCUCCCAGGAUGGCAGCUAUUGUGCCUUUGAUGGCUCUUUAGUUCUGUCCUUCUCUCCUUCAUGCACACAUUACAUGGUCAUUGUCUAUGUAUCCAUCCUCUACCAGAUUGGUGUCUCCUCAAGGCCAUGAGCCUUACCCAAGGGGCCUUGCUCAAGGUUGCAUGUUUAAUAAGGGAUGGGGUGAUUCAGGGCCCAAUACAGUAUCUUCACAAUAAAAUGCUCGAGAAAACUUGUCGAUGGACAAAGUGAGUGAAUAAAAUCUGGAGAAAGGCAAAAGGGUGUGCAGAAGUCAGUGAGUCUGAUUCAGGAGCAACCUGAUUAACAGGACGAGUUCUGGGCAUAAGAAUAUCAACUGCUGCUUGGAGCACUUCCCCAGUUUUUCUGCUUGGUGAAUUCAUCCCUCAAGAUCCCAGGCAGACAUCUCCUUCCCUGAGAAAUCCGGUCACUCCCUCUGAUGGCACAGUACACACUUCACUAUAGGAUUACUUCAUGUGUCUGUCUCCUUGCUCAGGUGCUGAGUUUCCUAGGGCAAGACCCUAUUGGAUCUCAAAGCACUAAGCACUGGAUCUGGUGUGAGUUCAACAAAUGCUUGGAGAGAAAGAAAUGAUGGAAGAUAUGAUUUCCGAAAGUUGAACUGCUUUUUUUCUUUUUUUUGCAGUAUUAGGCUUGCACCCAGAGGGCACUCACCCACUGAAUUAUAUCCCCAGUCCUUUAUAGUUUGUAUUUUGAGACAGGUCUAUGCUAAAUUGCUGAGGUUGGUCUGGAACUUUUGAUCCUCCUGCCUCAGUUUCCUGAGUUGCUGGGAUUAUAGUCAUGUGCCACCAUGCCCAGCUCUGAACGGCCUGAUUUUUAAUGUCUCUCCUAGCCUUGAGGAUGAUGAUAAAUUACCAAAGUAAGAGAAGCGGAGGGGUGAGCUGUAGUCCUUCCAGAGCACCCUUCAAGCAUGUGUGGGUUAAAUGCGAGCUAGUAAGAAGGACUGAUAAGGAGCAGUGAAAAUAUAUUCUUGGGGCUGGGGAUGUGGCUCAAGCAGUAGCGUGCUCACCUGGCAUGCGUGCGGCCCGAGUUCGAUCCUCAGCACCACAUACAAACAAAGAUGUUGUGUCC